AAACCUCUUUUAUCAAGGAAGAAGAUCUGACGGUACUUGAGGAAUAAGCCACGGCUAAUUCCGUGCCAGCAGCCGCGGUAAUACGGGAGUGGCAAGCGUUAUCCGGAAUUAUUGGGCGUAAAGCGUCCGCAGGCGGUUUUGAAAGUCUGUUGUUAAAGCGUGGAGCUUAACUCCAUUUCAGCAAUGGAAACUACAAGACUUGAGUGUGGUAGGGGCAGAGGGAAUUCCCGGUGUAGCGGUGAAAUGCGUAGAUAUCGGGAAGAACACCAGUGGCGAAGGCGCUCUGCUGGGCCAUAACUGACGCUCAUGGACGAAAGCCAGGGGAGCGAAAGGGAUUA
rnacentral:rRNA from 1 species